CUACAAGCUGGGAUAUCAUUUCUGAAAUCGAGCUCCAGGUUCCACCAAUCAGGUGGCUCUCCAGCAACUAGUUUAACAGGCUGCAGGGAAUUGAAAGGGCAGCGCUAGAACAACAGAGAUAUCCCUACACGUCUUUAAUCAGCUUAUGUGUAACCUCUUACUGCCAGGUAGUGAGAGAAAGCUGGCCGGCCCAGUGUCACCUUAUUGUUUAUUGUGAGGGAGCCCAGGUGAUUUAUAGGGCUGUGCUGCGUGCCAGAAGGC
rfam:Xenopus tropicalis strain Nigerian Chr01_contig_4583, whole genome shotgun sequence.